AUACGGAGGAUCCGAGCGUUAUCCGGAUUUAUUGGGUUUAAAGGGUGCGCAGGCGGCCAUUUAAGUCAGCGGUUAAAUCGUGGGGCUCAACCCCAUUCUGCCGUUGAUACUGGGUGGCUUGAUUGCGGUCGAGGUUGGCGGAAUUCGUUGUGUAGCGGUGAAAUGCAUAGAUAUGACGAAGAACACCGAUUGCGUAGGCAGCUGACCAGAUCGCAAAUGACGCUCAUGCACGAAAGUGCGGGGAUCGAACAGGAUUAGAUACCCUGGUAGUCCACACGGUAAACGAUGAAUACUCGCUGUUUGCGAUAUACUGCAAGCGGCCAAGCGAAAGCGUUAAGUAUUCCACCUGGGGAGUACGCCGGCAACGGUGAAACUCAAAGGAAUUGGCGGGG
rnacentral:rRNA from 1 species